rnacentral:rRNA from 1 species
CAAUAGCGUAUAUUAAAGUUGUUGCAGUUAAAAAGCUCGUAGUUGGAUUUCUGGCAGGAGCGGCCGGUCACACACUCUGUGUGUGAACUUGCGUCGUCUCUGGCCAUCCUUGGGAAGAUCCUGUUUGGCAUUAAGUUGUCGGGCAGGGGAUACCCAUCGUUUACUGUGAAAAAAUUAGAGUGUUUAAAGCAGGCUUAUGCCGUUGAAUAUAUUAGCAUGGAAUAAUAAGAUAGGACUUCGGAACUAUUUUGUUGGUUUGCGUUACGAAGUAAUGAUUAAUAGGGACAGUUGGGGGUAUUCGUAUUUCGUUGUCAGAGGUGAACUUCUUGGAUUUCCGAAAGACGAACUACUGCGAAAGCAUUUACCAAGGAUGUUUUCAUUAA